AAAUUGAAGAGUUUGAUCAUGGCUCAGAUUGAACGCUGGCGGCAGGCCUAACACAUGCAAGUCGAACGGUAACAGGAAGCGCUUGCUGCUUCGCUGACGAGUGGCGGACGGGUGAGUAAUGUCUGGGAAACUGCCUGAUGGAGGGGGAUAACUACUGGAAACGGUAGCUAAUACCGCAUAACGUCGCAAGACCAAAGAGGGGGACCUUCGGGCCUCUUGCCAUCGGAUGUGCCCAGAUGGGAUUAGCUUGUUGGUGGGGUAACGGCUCACCAAGGCGACGAUCCCUAGCUGGUCUGAGAGGAUG
rnacentral:rRNA from 1 species